ensembl:lncRNA
CUCAGGAACUGGGUCACCAAGAAUACUUUAAGCAUCUUGGAAGCAGACUUCCUUUUCCCACUGGUGCCCAUGGAUUUCUUAGAGAUGGGCCACCGUGUUUCGAAUGACAUGUGCCAGCGAGGGAAGAGGGGAAGAAGGUCAGUUCCUUGCUCUCCUAUCCUAAGGAGGCUAGCACAGAUUUAGGGUGAGCUCCUGCUUGCUUCCAGGAGGGCAGCUUUCUAACAUGGGUCUACUUCACAUCCCUCUAUGAGAGCUGAGCAGGGGCCAGGAACCCCAACUCAUGAUGCUUGCUACUGGUGACAAGCCAGCCUCUCCCCAGUGCAGCUCCACCAGGCUGCAGGAGGUGUGCCAUCAGAGCCCUGCCUGAGACCCAGAAUGGGGGUCACUCUGCUUGCCCCUGAACCUUGGGACAGCUUCCUUCUCAUCCCUUGGCGAGGUGCCUGCCUGGUUGCAGUCGGAACAGAUAAAGUCUAAGUGAGGCCGGGGGUGGACUGUGAAAGGCCUGGUACCUCUCCAACCCUACACAUACACACACAUAAGGACACACAAACACACAUAGACUUACCUAUAUAUCCACAUAUGCUCACAGGCACAUAUGUGUGUGUGCAGAAAUACAUAAAUAAGACCUAUGCAUGGGUGCAAAAAUACCUAAUACAUGUGUGCACACACACCCACGGUUAUAUGCACACACACAUACAGACUGUGUAUGUCUGGGACUUGCCACUCUUGUUGAAGAGUGCCCACAGACAGGUACCCCAGAGGGGUUGUUACAGGCUGUUGGAAUCCAUGCUCCCCUCCCCCAGCCCUCCAGUCCCCUGAGCUCACCCUACUCUAUUGGCUGUUGCUAGGAUCUCCAUGGUGACAAGUUCUGGAUGGGAGGAAGCCCACCACUGCCUUCUUCCCAGCUGGGGGCUGCCAGGGCCUGGGUGAUGGCAGUACCCCAUGGGGAAGUUGUUGCCUGGAACAGCUCUGGUGCUGGGGAGCCACAUGCCUGUUGUUCAUCCUCCACUUGUCCUGCCCAGCUCUCUCCCUAGCGGUGACAGAGCAGACCCUGGCCAGCCUCCCCUUGUGGAUUCCCCAUGGCCACUUGCUUGAGAGUGUGCCUCUCCCAGCCACAAACCCAGCCAACUGGGGCCAGCCUGAGGAUGGAAAAUAGAGGACAAAUGUUCAUCACUCUCCACGCUUUGUCCCUGGCAGAUAUUACUAGUCAAUCAUAGCACUUUCUCUUGCUGAGCCGUUCCCUGGCCUCAAAAGCCUACCAAGCAGUCACGACCAGUUGAUUGAUUGUGGUAGACAAGGGACAUAAAACCUAUUUGCUAAGGCCCCAAUUCAUAGCCAGACCAGCUAUGGCCUCUCUGUCCCCACCCUCCUCACUUCACCUGACCUCCUCCUGCUCCCUACUGUGUGCCCCAGACACAGUGCCCCUGCCUCCACAUACUUCCUCAUUCCAUCCUCUGAAUCCAUCUCUAGCUUCUGAGGGGCCACCAUGGCCUCAGGAAGCCUGCCCUCCUGACCUCAACAGAAUCUGCUCCUUUUCCUAAUCCUCCCCUAUGGGGCCCAGUGUUUUUCAUCGUCUACCCAGUUAGGGGCAGUUCAGCCUCCAGGAGUCUGGAGUGGAGCAGGUCGGGAUCUCACCCCUGUGACUUCACCUAUGUAAGCCCCCCUUUCAUCAUUGGAAUCCCCCACAAGGUCACCUAGAGUCCUGGGGCCCGGUCAGGCCUUCCUCAUGUCCCCACCUGCCCUCCAUACCAAGUUCCCCUCGGCAAAUGGGGUUCCCCUAAGAGGAGAGGGUUUGCGGGGCUUGUUGGCCUCGGCAAGUGAGCACUUCAAGCUCUGCUCAGGGCUGACUUGGGAUUGGUAUCAAGCAGCCCUGGCACCUGUCCCGGCAUGAAGGCCACACCCUGAGUUACUCUCAUCCCAUUGCGGCUUUCACCUUCUCGGCCCUGCAUUCACCUCAGAUUCCCCAUUGAGGGGAGCAGAGCAGGGCUUGUCUGUCCAUUCUACAGAUGGGAAAGCUGAGGCUAGGAAGGGAAGUGUCUUGCCCAAGGGCCUGGCUCCAGCCCCAGCCAGUUACUCACCCAGUGGUCCUAGGUGAGUCAUGGUGCCCAGGUGAUGGGAAGGAAACAUAUAAACACGAGCAGUGGGAAGGGCACUCCAGGAGCUGGGCAGAUGUGCCUGCAUGGGGCUCCCAGCUCUGAACUCCCCCACACAGGCACCUAUGGGCUUACUGGGCAGGUGAAACCCUGACUGUCUCAAAUUGUGUUCCCUUCUGGCCUUAUGUCUCGGCUUGGCAUCAGCCUUGGGAGGGCUGUCAACCCACAUGACAGAUGGGGAAACUGAGGCCCAUGGUUAGAAAUCAAGCUGUGGCAGGGGACUGUGCCCCAGACUAAGAACCCAGAGCUCCUUCCCCCCAGCCUGGGGUCCCCAACUGGCUCUUACUAUGGUUCCAGGCUCCUGCAGGAAGAGACCCAAGCAUAGGCCACAGGAAGCCCCUUGCACUAGCAACUCUUUCCUAUCUCUGGGGUGGCAGGAGGCCAACGCUGGCAGAGUAGGGGACAGACUGGGGGCACGGGCAGCCACUCACCCCAUAAGGAGAAGGGGCUGUAUCCUUCCUGCAUGUAGUAUGUGUGCUAUCAAAUGCUCUCUCCACUUCCAUGGCAUACAUGGCUGAUCCUGCCCAGGACCCAGCUUCAGAACCUCUGCCCUCCACUGUCUCUACACAGUCCAGACCUCUGACCUCUCCCCUAGACCAUCUCACUAGGCUUCCAGCCCCUGCUCCAUCCCCACAGUCUAUUUCCCACACAGCAGCCAGAGAAAUCUUUUGAGAAUGGAAUCAUACCCGGCCCUCCCCUGCUCUGAAGCCUCCCAUUGUUGCAGAGAACUCCACUGGGUGGCCACGUGGCCCUUGGUGAUCUGGCCCUGCCCCUCCCCCCCACCUCCUCAAGUCCCUCAGGGUCCAGGAUUCUCUGGGUCCCUUCUCCUCUCUCUCUCUCUCACUCGCCUAGCCCAGGCCCCACAUCCUCCUGCCUGUUCUUUCUUCAGGGCCUUUGCUCUCAUUGGCCCCUCUGCUGGAAACUUCCUCCCCAGCUCUUUCCUUUGACUAGUUUCUUAUCCUUCUCCCCAAACCCACUUGUCCUCCAGAGCCAGAGAGGGCACCUGGGAAGUGGCUGAGCCAGAACUGGAACCCUAGCCUCCUUUUAGACUCUGUGUUGUCAGCCAUGAGCACAUGGUCCUGGGAUUUAAAAUGCUUUUGGCUUUCCCUUGCCACACUGGAGGAUUCCAGAAGCCUCUCACUUCCAUUCCCCACUUGGGCCUUAGCCCGUCCUGCAUGACCUGCCCAGAGUCACUCAGUGAGAUUCCCUGGAGCCAGGAGGCUCCUGGUCAUGAAGGGAUGGAUCCCUGCUCUCACCGGCCUCGUCCAUGGCCUCAGGCUAUAGGCCUCAAUUUCCCUCUUUCAGAGAGGGUGCUCCCUCUCCCAGCCAGGUGCAGCUCAUCCUUCCUCUGCAGAUUGAGCCAAAACACUCACUUCUAGGGGACUCUGGGGUCCCAAGCCUGGGUUCCAGUCCUGCAACCCACCAGCGGUGAGCCUGGAGGAGGGGCUGGGCUGGUGAGGGAGCCCCAUCUGCUGACACUGAGACCAUCCCUAGAGAGCCAGGAGAAGCAGCUCACCAGCCCUGGGAAACCAGGCAGGCUGGGUCUGAUUUCCCUGGGGCUCAGAGGAAGGCAGAGGAGAGAGGGAAAGGAUUCAGAGAAGACUAGCUGGGCCGGUUCCUUGCCCCAAGGCCAGUGAAGGCCAGAGCCCUUUCCUCUUGCAUCCCCCUCCCCAGAAUCUUUGCCCUGGGCUGAUCCCCCUCCCUCUUACAACACUCCAGGGCUUGUGGGCAGCACCUCAUGAGUCCACCUGGGGCUCUGAGGGAUAGAAACCAGGGAUUUGGGGGAGCAGGGGUCCUUCUGAUCCUUCUGAGGCCACCUCUGCCAGGAAGGGCCUGGAGCCCUGAUGGUUUGAGCAGGGGUAGGAGGCAGGAGGGCAUCUCUGGCAGGCAUUCCCAGACAGAGCAAAGGCAAAGAGCUGUGAUAGAGUCAGGUGUGGUGCCCUGGUUCUGUCUUUGCCAAACCAGCCUAUGGUUUUUUGAUUAGGAGAGCCAGCAGUGGCAGGCUCCUGACAGUAAAGCUAGCCCAAGCUUUGAGGCUGAGAGGGUGGAGGAAGCUGGGAAUUCCCAGGGCACCUGGCAGGCGGAUGUGCCAGGGGCCUGGGCUGGGUCUGCUUCAGGUGGGCCAAGGGGCGGGGCCGGUAGGUCUCUCUGUAGCUGCCAGGCUUAAUUGUAUCAUUAGCAUCUGCCUGCUGCCAGCCUGGGCCUGUCUGGUCCCCUCCCCGUCAGCCCACACAGCCCUGUUUUUCAGGAAUCCCUCCUAUGAGGCAUUGAUGGUGACAGUGACAGUGACCAUGAUGAGGCUGGGGAAAUGGCCUGGGAGCCAGCUGGCCUGGUCCAGGCGUGAGGUUGCUGGGUUGAGGCCUCACCACCCAGUCACAUCCGAGAUUUCACACCCAGCGCCAUCCCAGCUGCCUGCCUGGGACUGGAUGUACAGUGUUCCCACAUAGGUAGGCACUGGUGGCAGGACCAGGAAACAGUCUGGGGGACUCCCUUUCCUGGCCUGGCCCCACCCAGCCCAACUCCUGCCACAAGGGCACAUGCCCCAAGACUUGGGAGCCUCCCUCCCUCCAAAGACUAGGGUCCACUGGGAGAGAGAAGGGGUCCAAUGAACUCUGACUCUCAGGGCUCCUAGGGGGCCCUAGGCAGGGACAGGGUAGACCAGGGGCCAGCUCUGCCUGAAGCCCCUGCCCACAGCCAUGGCUUAUGCAGUCUCCCAUCAGAAGACAGGAUUGCCUUGACCCUCACCUUCAGAUGGGACAACCUUCUGGCCUGAGCUCUAGGGGCAGCUCAGAGACUAGGGUUGGUAGGAGUGAGGUACUGAGAGGGCGCUUUGGCUGGGACUAGAGCUGGAACCCUCCAUAGAAACCUCCCCACAACCACCAAGCCUGGCCCAAAGAACUCAGGCUGGGGAGUAGCUAGGUUCCACAGGCCAUGGGCAUUAUUGGGACAUGGAGCCCCCAGGCAGGAGGGAGCUGGAGCCUGCAAAGCUGAGGAGCUGCUGUGGACUGGGUGGCCCCUGGAUAUGCCCCAGCCUCUCCAUCUAUGAAGCGGGGCAAUACCUUCUGCCUACCCUAACUCCCAGGGGUGUGGGGCAGCCAGGCAGGUUCUCCAUUGGAUCUGUCAGAGGGAGGGGCCUCUUUAGCCAAAGGGGCUGAGCACAGACUCCAACUACCCCUGCACUGCAGGAGCAAGAGUGGGCUUGGCAUGGCACCUGGAGUAGACAAGGUCAAGUGCUGACCACCUGCUAGGCCCUGCUCUGGACAUGGCGGGACAGCCCUAUGUGGCCCUCAGACAACCAAGGUGUGAAUGUGCCACGUGUGCUGGGACAGGGCAUGGGUGAG